rnacentral:lncRNA from 1 species
CACAUGAAUUAUGUGCCUUGUUCAUGUCCUCAUCUAGUCUGUAAUGAUGGAUCGUCAUCAUGGUAUUGUUAAUGGCUGUGUGCGCUUCUAUGUCGAGGUAGUUUUGAUUUUAAUUCAUAUUUCUUGAUUUUAAUCCAGUGCAAGAAUGGGCAUAUAGCGUGCAAACCUCGCUGCACGAAGAUGAGGAACAAAUGUGGGAGUUUUUUUAGUACCGGAGAAAAAACAAAUAAAUAUGGCACUUUGUCCAAAGUGUCUAUCGUGAUUUCAAAUAGUACUUUUAGUACCAGAGAAAGAAUUCUUGAUUCCUUCCAUAGUCCUUUAACCCCCGAGGAUAGUGGAGGUUUUGGUAUGUACUCAAAAUUGGCUAAAAGAAACUCGAAGCAUGGAGAGAUUUUACAUGGAAGACGUCGAAAAAUAUAACUAAUUAGAUGAAGAUAAUCUGAGUUUGAAUGAAGUAGUACAUAGUUUUCUCUCCCUUUCACUUUCUGCUGGUGAAGUGCUCAAUAGGCCUUCGUGCAUUUCAAACAGAUUUUUGUUAUUAUGCAUUUUCCUUGAAUCACUG